rnacentral:rRNA from 1 species
GAUGAGCCGAUGUAGGAUUAGGUAGUUGGUAUGGGUAAAGGCCUACCAAGCCAAUGAUCCUUAGCUGUUCUGAGAGGUUGGUCAGCCACACUGGGACUGAGACAAGGCCCAGGCUUCCAUUGAAGCCAGCAGUGAGGAAUCUUGGACAAUGAGCGGAAGCUUGAUCCAGCAAUACUACAUGAGGGAUGACGGCUUUUUGGUUGUAAACCUCUUUGACUGAAGAGGAUGAUGACAGUAUUCAGUUGAAAAGCCCCGGCUAACUUCGUGCCAGCAGCCGCGGUAAGACGAAGGGGGCGAGCGUUAUCCGGAAUGAUUGGGCGUAAAGGGUUCGUAGGCAGUUCUAUUUGUGAAAGGUUAAAUCUGGGAGCUCAACUCCCAAACGCUUUUUAAACGUUAGAGCUUCUAGUUGGAAAGGGGAUAGCAGAAUUUCACAUGGAGGGGUGAUAUCCGGAGAAAUGUGAAGGAAUCCCAGAGGCGAAGGCGGCUAUCCGGGUCCAAACUGACGCUGAGGAACGAAAGCAUGGGGAUCAAACAGGAUUAGAU